CCGCCGUAAGCCACUACCCCGAGCCCUAGCUUCCUUCGCCGGUCAUUCUCCGCCGUUUCUCCGUCCGUUCAGCCGCCAUUCCGCCGCCCCUUCGAGCCGGUUUGUCGUCGGCGUCGUCGAGCUCUUCGCCGGAAACCCGUCGGAAAGCGAUUCCGGACCGUAGAUGGCGGUAUCCCGGAGAUGGAUGGCAUGCUGACGGAGGUGGACCAGACGUUAGAGAGUGCUCUUGACCCUUUUUGAUGCACAUAGACUCUGACCCAUUUUUGGUGCAUAGGCCCUGGAUCCGGUUGAUGUAUGUAAGCCCUGGUUUGUUAAUGAUGUAUGAAAGUAUGUUGUUUGAUUUUGAAUUGAUG